AAAAAAAUCCCACAAUUUUUUCCUGAUUCAUUUAGAAGUAAAUUUGUGUCAGGUUAGAAAACAAAAUAAAACACUUUUCAUGUGUUAAACUGAGAACAUGUGGAAAUAUCAUUGUUUAGCAAGAGCUUAAAUUACAAGCAAGCCUCUCUCUUGGGAAAGGAACUCCAAAAAAAUGAGAUCUCAAAGAGCAGAGAUAAGCUUUGGUAGGGAUAAAUUCAUGCCGAAGGUUAAGUUUGCCGGGUGAGUCCUCUUUCCACAGAAAUCGGAGAGACAUUUGGAAGAUACUUGUUAGAAUUAGGUCGUGGAAGAAAAAGGCAAAGAAUAUAUAUGCCUAGAUUUUGAAAACAAAGAAGAGAUUUCUCAUGAAAGAGGGGAAAUAAGACACAAAGAGUAGAGCUGCUAUCAAAGGAAACAGACUGUAUACAUUGUCCCUUUGUUCUUAAGAGCCAAAACCUAAACGUCAAUCAUGUGUGUCCUUCUGGGGGACUGGCCAGAGGGGAAAAGGGUUCCUGCUUCACACUGCAGCAGAUGAUUUUCCUGAAAUUCCAAAUAAAGAGAACAAUGGUGGUUUUACAAGGGACCAAAACGAAAUUUAAAUUCCACUUAUUUCAUGUGCCUGGGAAACGAUACGAAGACUUCUAAAUAAGAUAUGGUUUGAGCCACUUAGGUUUAUGGAGACUUAUCCAAGUCGAAGCCCGCCGCAUUCAAAAUGAUGACAAAAUGACAAAGAACAGUUCAUCCGUAGGCUGAGUGAGUCACACUUUCUCAUCACAGAAGCUACUACGUGGGAGUCCAUCAGGAAUUUGGGGAAAUUAUACCUACCGCCUACCUUAAGAUUUAAUAAUGAAAUGAACUGAUUUCUGUUUUUUUUUUUUUUUAAUAUGCAUCAGAUAGGUGCAAUUUUGGUAUAAUCUCCCAAAGGAUUGUAAGGAUCUAUUUAAUCUCAUAUUAAAGGGGGGGGGGUCUCUAAUUAGCUAGGAUAUAUUUUCCAUGAUUGACUCCUUAAUUGUCACAGAAUAGUACUAAAUCAAACCAACCUCACAAAACAAGGUUGAUUUUACCAAGCCUUGAAAAAAAACCCACAGGCUUGCAAUCAUAUCCUUAACCACUAAAACUCCCAUACACAUCAAAUAGCCAAUGCCUUCAGAAAAUAAUACCUGUAGGUGGUUUGGUUGGUUUUUUAGAAUGAAUUCACUUUUUUUUUUUUGAGUAUCAGAAUUAAAUAUGGAACUUUGAGCUUACAGGACAAUGGGUUCAAGCCAGAGGUAGAGUAAUGAAGUCAGAUCCUUGUGCCUAAUUGGGUUUCUCUAUUUCCAUAGAUUUGCAUCUAUCCAGGUUAAUUUGUAUAGAUAUUCCUGGAUUUUUAAAAUAAAUAACAAAAGAUAAAGAUACAGGAAAUGAGGGCUUAAAAUGCUACCAUAGUGUACAACCAUUAGCUAUACAACUGAAUUAGAAAGCCACGAGAUAAAAAUUCUGGGUAUAUUAUAUUCAUAAUAACCAAGAAAAUGUUGAUUAAAAUGUUCUUUCAUUUUU